UACAGAGGGUGCAAGCGUUGUUCGGAAUCAUUGGGCGUAAAGGGCGUGUAGGCGGUUUGCUAAGUCAUGUGUGAAAGCCCUCGGCUUAACCGAGGAACGACGCAUGAAACUGGCAAGCUAGAGUACCAAAGAGGGGGGUGGAAUUCCCGGUGUAGCGGUGAAAUGCGCAGAUAUCAGGAGGAACACCUAUUGCGAAGGCAGCUCGCUGGGACGUAACUGACGCUGAGACGCGAAAGCGUGGGGAGCAAACAGG
rnacentral:rRNA from 1 species